GGGAAACACCUGUCUAGAUCCCAAAAAGGUGAGUAUCUGCAUUCUGUUAUUAUCCUCUGCUUGAACAAUAUUCUAUUCAUUGGUAUAAAUAAGGGGGUAGGGAGAAAAGGGUGGGAGACUUGGAGGGACAUAAUUCCUUUUAGUCAAAAUGGUUAUGGAAAAGCAAAUCAUAUUUGACACAUUUACCACAAUGUAACAGCUGACUACAUUGCUGUGUGUCUGUCUGCAUGCCUGUAUGCCCGUCAUUGACGUUGUCUGUGUGUGUGUCUUGUUGCCUUCCAGUACCUCUCUCUGGAUGGGAACAGUCUGAACACAGCUGAUCUGGUCCGUUUGGGGAAAGGCCUGUUCAACAUCAAGCUGACCUGCGAGGCUGAAGGGAAAGUCAAUGAAGACAGAGAAGUGAUAGAAACCAUCAUAAAAAAAAUCCGAAGUAUGUAUAGAUUAAUAGAAUAUAUAGCUAUAGAUUAAUAGAAUAUAUAGCUAUAGAUUAAUAGAAUAUAUAGCUAUAGAUUAAUAGAAUACAUAGCUAUAGAUU
rnacentral:lncRNA from 1 species